AUCUCUAAAUGUCUGGUCAUUGUGUGCUGGUUCUGUUUAUAUGCCUAAAAAUGCUUUUGGUAGCUCAACUGUAUGCCAAUCUCCUUGUAUGUUUAGGAGCUUUCAAUUCAAACUGAAGUUAUGACUGUUCUGUUAGUUUCUACCCAUAGGAAGCCAUAGCAGAUGUUGGCACUUGUAGAGCACAAAAUUAACACGCAAUAUGAGGUUUAUUAAUUUAAACCUCAAGUAUGGCUAAAUGACAGUUGUUCAACUUGUAAUAAAUCUAAAAACAGCUGUCUAUUUGGAAAUUCCUUUUUUUUUCUUUUUCUUUUCUCCUUCUUGUAUCAUUUUUCACAUGUUAUAAGAAUAGAUAUUCUUAACAUAAAGAAUAGACAAUUUGAUUUCUCUAAUUAAUGCACUGCAAGUUGCUUCCAAUAAGUCAAGAAAAACAAAUAAAUAAAUAAAGUCAGUGCCUGGUGCCUUGUAGUUGGUGAGAAGUAGACCUGUUACUGAACAAGUAAGCUAGUUUCUCUGGUUACAUGUAAGCAAGUUUUUCAUUGUAGAACUAUCUCCAGCUACACUCUGGGUUUGCUGAGAAUGGAGGACAAGCCCCAGAUUCAAAUGCCAUUAGUUAAACUGGGUAGUCAAGGAUUGGAGGUUUCUAGACUGGGUUUUGGAUGUGGAGGACUAUCUGGAAUAUACAGCGGUAACAAAGCUCCUCUCUUUGAUGAAGCUGCUUGUUCAGUUAUUGAGGAAGCAUUCAAUAGGGGUAUCACUUUCUUUGAUACUUCAGAUCUUUAUGGCCAAAAUCAUCAUAAUGAAUUCUUGCUUGCAAAGGUUUUGAAACAGCUUCCUCGAGAAAAUGUUCAAUUGGCUACAAAGUUUGGCAUUGUCAUGUCGGACAACUAUCAAUUUGGAGUGAGGGGGACCCCUGAAUAUGUAAGAGCAUGCUGUGAAGCUAGUCUUAAGCGGCUGGACGUCAACUAUAUCGAUCUGUAUUAUCAGCACCGUGUUGAUGUUUCAGUGCCGAUCGAGGACACUAUGGGGGAGCUUAAGAAGCUGGUAAAUGAAGGAAAGAUAAGAUACAUUGGUCUAUCAGAAGCUAGCGUUGACACAAUAAAAAGAGCUCAUGCUGUUCAUCCAAUCACUGCUGUACAAAUGGAGUAUUCUCUGUGGUGUCGUGAAAUCGAAAACGAGAUAAUUCCACUUUGCAGGCAACUUGGAAUUGGGAUAGUAUCAUAUAGCCCCCUCGGCCGAGGGUUUUUUGGUGGUAAGGCAGUGGUAGAGAGCUUGUCUGCGGAGAGUUUGCUGUAUACACACCCCAGGUUCAAUGGGGAGAAUUUGGAAAAGAACAAACUUCUCUAUGGCAAACUUGCCAACCUUGCUGCAAAGCAUGCAUGCACGGUUCCUCAAUUAGCUCUGGCAUGGCUUCUCCAUCAGGACAAUUAUAUAGUCCCAAUCCCUGGGACCACUCAGGUUAAGAACCUUGAUAUCAAUAUUAGAUCAUUGGAUGUAAUGCUUACAGAAGAGGAUUUGAAAGAAAUUUGUGAUGCUGUUCCCAUUGAUGAAGUUUGUGGUGACAGAGAAUUUGCACUUUUUGCCAAAUUUGUCUGGCCCUACGCAAAUACCCCAGCAAAGUAAUCAAAAUGACAGAAUUUGACAGUAAAGCGCAAGCUUUCAGUAAAUAACGUUUUAUUUCAAUGUACUGAGGGGUCAGUUGCUGACAGUAAACCGAAUAAAUAAGUAAAGUCAAUGUCUGUCUACUGCAAAGUGGCCCUUUAAAGAA